UAACGCGUGAGGAACCUGCCUUGGAGUGGGGAAUAACAGCUAGAAAUAGCUGCUAAUACCGCAUAAUGCAACUAAGUCGCAUGGCUUUGGUUGCCAAGAUUUAUCGCUCUGAGAUGGCCUCGCGUCUGAUUAGAUAGUUGGCGGGGUAACGGCCCACCAAGUCGACGAUCAGUAGCCGGACUGAGAGGUUGGCCGGCCACAUUGGGACUGAGACACGGCCCAGACUCCUACGGAAGGCAGCAG
rnacentral:rRNA from 1 species